AUUGAACGCUGGCGGCAUGCCUUACACAUGCAAGUCGAACGGUAACAGGUCUUCGGAUGCUGACGAGUGGCGAACGGGUGAGUAAUACAUCGGAACGUGCCUAGUAGUGGGGGAUAACUACUCGAAAGAGUGGCUAAUACCGCAUGAGAUCUACGGAUGAAAGCAGGGGAUCGCAAGACCUUGUGCUACUAGAGCGGCCGAUGGCAGAUUAGGUAGUUGGUGGGAUAAAAGCUCACCAAGCCGACGAUCUGUAGCUGGUCUGAGAGGACGAUCAGCCACACUGGGACUGAGACACGGCCCAGACUCCUACGGGAGGCAGCAGUGGGGAAUUUUGGACAAUGGGCGCAAGCCUGAUCCAGCAAUGCCGCGUGCAGGAUGAGGGCCUUCGGGUUGUAAACUGCUUUUGUACGGAACGAAAAGCCCCGGGUUAAUACCCUGGGGUCAUGACGGUACCGUAAGAAUAAGCACCGGCUAACUACGUGCCAGCAGCCGCCGUAA
rnacentral:rRNA from 1 species